CCGCCCCUGGCCUGGAGCGCGGCCCCGGCGUCCCGGAUGCCCGAGGCCUGCUGGUCCCGGCCAGAGCCGUCCCCGUCCCGCGCCGCCGCUCAAGCUCAGAGAAGGGGCGUGGGGCCACCCCGGGAGCGGCGCAGCCUUUUCCCUACGCGUUGGAGCCCUGGGCUCUGCUCGGCUCCGCUAGUGGUGCCGGAUCCAGGCGACAGCGCGACAGACACCAUUGCCACGUGGGUGCAGCCUCAGGACGUCCUGAAAGCCGGAGAGAAUCAGGUCACACGAACGUGGCCGGUCUGUUGUUAAGCUUCUGCCAAGAGCCAGGCCCGGGGCAGGGGGAGCCCUUCAGAACUGGGAAUUGUCCCUACCCACGGGAAGCUUAGAGGAUGGAGGGCAAUGCGGGGCACAGGUCAUUGGCCUGACCUCCAAGGGGAGUUCCAGGAGUUGUUUCUGGAAGAGGCGACGGGGAGGCCCCAGGAAAUGGCUUGCAGGCCGGUACCAUGAGGGAGAAGUGAACCAGCCAGAGAAGCCAUGAGUGCCUGGGAGCACAGGCCCCAGCUGCAGGAACACCCACGUCUCAGCUCCAGCCUCCUGCUGCAGGUCACAGUGUGUGUACCGAGAGCACCGCAGAUUCACGAUAACAGAGGAGUGAUCCAUCACAGCUGUUCUUCCAGAAGCAUUGUGAAGAUUAGGUUCACUAAAAUCAAUCUUCUUGUUACAAAUGGAAGAUGACCGAGCCAGCAGGCUUCCGGCACGGAGCCGGCAGCAUUCUUCAGCGGAAGCAGCCCACUGGUUUCAUGGCCCAUCCCUCGCCGAGUAAAGCAAGAGGUUAAUUAAACAAAUACCCAGCUCUCUUCCAGUCCAGAAAAUUGAGGUAUUUAGAGAAGAAACGGAGUAACAUUAAGAUGCAAAGAAUCACUGAGCCAAGGGAGGAUUUCAUGGGGGAUUUUGUGAGGCUUUCCAUCUUUCUUUGCUCUCUGAGCUCUCUAAAAUAGCAGCUAUGAAAUUCCUUCCCACAAUGAACGUGCCUUAUUUUUGGUCUUUUGUGGAAAGCACUUGAUGAAGUGCCUCUGGCUUCACGCUCUAGUCUGCCCACUUACCACCUUCUGAGGAUGAACAGAACCCGCAUUUUCACCCAGGACCUCCACUGUUUUCACUUCACCUGUGGAGGAGCAGCCCGCGGAGUCCACCUGCAAAUUAAACACGCUGCAGCCGCACGAGAGACAGCUGGCCCUGGUGAGCUUUCAUUAAGGAGCUGGCUGUAGCGACCUGGGGUACCCCAGACUUGCUUGAUUAAACAGGUAACUUUUCUCAGGUGACCCUUUCGCUGGGUUCUCCACUGAUGUAGUAGAUGAUUUCUCAAAGAUCAUAGUGCUGAGUCUGUAUUAUUCAGAUUUCACUGGUCUAAGUUGAUGGUCUGAUCAUGACAGUGUUGAAACAUGGGUUUCUG
rnacentral:lncRNA from 10 species